rnacentral:rRNA from 1 species
GAACGCUGGCGGCGUGCCUAACACAUGCAAGUUGAGCGGAGGUAGAUGGAGCUUGCUCUAUGUACCUUAGCAGCGAACGGGUGAGUAACACGUAGAUAAUCUGUCCUAUAUUGGGGGAUAGCCCGAUGAAAGUUGGAUUAAUACCGCAUACAGCUAUAUAGUUGCAUGAUUAUAUAGUGAAAGAUUUAUUGAUAUAGGAGGAGUCUGCGGCACAUUAGCUAGUAGGUGAGGUAAGAGCUUACCUAGGCGACGAUGUGUAGCCGGUCUGAGAGGAUGAACGGCCACAAUGGAACUGAGACACGGUCCAUACUCCUACGGGAGGCAGCAGUGGGGAAUAUUGCACAAUGGGGGAAACCCUGAUGCAGCAACGCCGCGUGAGUGAAGAAGGUUUUCGGAUUGUAAAGCUCUGUUAGCAGGGAAGAGGAAGGACGGUACCUGCAGAGGAAGCCACGGCUAACUACGUGCCAGCAGCCGCGGUAAUACGUAGGUGGCAAGCGUUGUUCGGAAUAACUGGGCGUAAAGGAUGCGUANGCGGUUAAAUAAGUUAUAUGUUAAAUAUAUAGGCUUAACCUGUAGAAAGCAUAUAAAACUGUUUAACUAGAGUGCAGGAGAGGUAAGUGGAAUUCCUAGUGUAGCGGUGAAAUGCGUA